rnacentral:lncRNA from 1 species
AUUCAAUCUCCCGCCUAAUUCUAGUAUAGAUCUGGAUUGAAGACUGGCUGGUCACAGACGUAGCUGAAAUGCAAGUAUUUUAAACUAUACUAGGUAUAGACUUCCCAAGAAGAAUGCAGGACCCUACGUCUGUCACAUAUGGUGGAACAUCUUCAUUACAUGAUGCUUGAUUUUCCUUCUUGGCUCAAGAUUCUAAACUUCUUUUCCCACAUUUGUAAAUCUGACAUCACUACUUCUUUUUAACGUAGUUUGAAGUGUCUGAAAUACUUUCUAGUGAAAGACAGCCCUUACUUAAAAGUAAAAAUGUUUAAAAGAAAGAAAGGAAGAAAGAAAGGAAGAAAGAAAA